rnacentral:rRNA from 1 species
UGGGGAAUAUUGGACAAUGGGGGGAACCCUGAUCCAGCCAUGCCGCGUGUGUGAAGAAGGCCUUAUGGUUGUAAAGCACUUUAAGCGAGGAGGAGGGUACUGGUAUUAAUACUACCAGCUACUGGACGUUACUCGCAGAAUAAGCACCGGCUAACUCUGUGCCAGCAGCCGCGGUAAUACAGAGGGUGCAAGCGUUAAUCGGAAUUACUGGGCGUAAAGCGCGCGUAGGUGGUUCGUUAAGUUGAAUGUGAAAGCCCCGGGCUCAACCUGGGAACUGCAUCCAAAACUGGCGAGCUAGAGUAGGGCAGAGGGUGGUGGAAUUUCCUGUGUAGCAGUGAAAUGCGUAGAUAUAGGAAGGAACACCAGUGGCGAAGGCGACCACCUGGGCUCAUACUGACACUGAGGUGCGAAAGCGUGGGGAGCAAACAGG